UGCCAGCCGCCGCGGUAAUACGGAGGGGGUUAGCGUUGUUCGGAAUUACUGGGCGUAAAGCGCACGUAGGCGGAUUAGAAAGUUAGAGGUGAAAUCCCGGGGCUCAACCCCGGAACUGCCUUUAAAACUACUAGUCUAGAGUUCGAGAGAGGUGAGUGGAAUUCCGAGUGUAGAGGUGAAAUUCGUAGAUAUUCGGAGGAACACCAGUGGCGAAGGCGGCUCACUGGCUCGAUACUGACGCUGAGGUGCGAAAGUGUGGGGAGCAAACAGGAUUAGAUA
rnacentral:rRNA from 1 species